CCCGUGUCCGACGAUAGGCAAGCCUGGGCCAGGUUUGGUGCAGAGGCACGCAAAGAGAUCGGGUAGUUGCUCUUUUACCCCGUGAACUGGGCCGCCUGACGCUUGUUGUUAAUUGCAGAUUAUUCUGGAAAAGUUUAUCCUGUCAAGGGAUCUGCCAUUAGGGAAAUUCCUCUGGAGAUCAGACCCAGGGGCCAUGACUUCGUUUUGGCCACCUGGGAACAACUUAAGGUUUCCUUUCCUCGCGUAAAGAAAGUGGAAAAUCUCAAGCGGUUUCUGGCUUGAAAAGCCCUUCAUUUACUCACUUCUGCCCUCUCUGACCCAGCCCUCCUCCCCGCAGGAGGAUCCAGGAAGUAGGGGGUUGAGUUUUUUAGACAAUCAAUUAAUUUUGUAAUUAGAAAAGUAA